AUAUUUAUUCUGUUUUUAUAUUUAUAUAUUCUGUUAAUACACUGCAGAUAUCUAUAUCUAUAUUAUUCUUACUACUAGUAUAAUGUCUCUGCUACUACAUUGCACAUAUCUGUACAUGUUGUUCAUACAUUGUCCAUAUUACAUAUUUA